AAUAUUUCGCCGUCCUAGGCCCGGGCCUACAGGGCCUUAGGGCAAAUCCGCCACUGUUCCUCGCCUCUUCUAAUAUAAAACGUUGUUCCCUAGUACAGAUGACGCCUAUCUCGAGUGCAUGCUUAAUAUUUGUUGUCGCAGGGACGCAUUGGCACCGUCACCCACGAGACCAAGUAAAGCUUAGUGGAGACACUGGCAAAAGGAGUCAAGGCGUUUGGAGUAUUUUUAAAUCAUACAAGUGAAUAAAGACUAAUAUGUAUAAUUAAAUAUUAGGACAUAUAAUAGCGAGGUAUUAGUUAAGAGUCCCUCACGUUUCAUGAAAUUCUGUAUUUUUUUAAUAUGUGUAGGACAUGGUUUAUAAUAUAAUAAAUAAAAAACCUGCAUAAAAAUAGACAA